GACCGCUCUGGUAGUCUAGUGUUUAGAGCGUCCUCCUCGGAUGCGGGAGGUCACGGGUUCGAACUCCGGCCGAGUCA